UCUCCUUCUCUGUGCUUGAACAAUCCUAUGAAGAAAUUCCAAUAGACUAUGAUAAAGAUAUGAAGAAUGGCCUAGAACUCCACAGAGACAAAUAAAAUAUGAUGAUUGUGGUGAAAUGGUGGCCAGAGAGAGGGGUGGGAGGUGAGAAGAGGAGGAAAAUUCAUCAAAAGACACUUGGCACUGUUAACAUUUCCCAGCUUCCCAUGAGUCAGGUGUGGCUCUAUAACUGAAUACUAUUCAAUGAGAUGUGAGCUGAAUGAUGUACAUUUCCAGUGCAAUCCUUUUAAGAAGUCAAUUAGCAGCUGCAUGCUAAAGGUGACCAUGACAGUGAGGCCAUGAGAAGGAAAGUGCCUGGUCCUAAUUACUCUACCUGGAUAAGAGCCAACCUGUAAACAAACACUUACUAACAAUUUAGGCAAUUUGACAAUCUACAUUCAAUUGGAGAUAGUCAAGUUUUCAAGAACUUUUAACACAACAGAAGUUAUAGAAACAACUAUGUAUCCAAGGAUAAGUGGAUUAAGAAGAUGUGGUUUGUAUACACAAAGAAAUACUAUCCAGCUAUUAAAAAAAUAAGGUUAACCAUUGACAUUCUCAACAACAUGGAUGGAACUGGAUGGGAUUGCACUAAAAGAAAUACAAUAUGAUGGCCAGAAACUGGAAAGCCACUACACUGACUGCUAAAUGGACUCAUUUUUUUAGUUCUGAAAGCAAACUUGCGAGGUAAAUAAAGACUU